UACAGAGGUCCCAAGCGUUGUUCGGAUUCAUUGGGCGUAAAGGGUGCGUAGGCGGCGCGGUGAGUCGGAUGUGAAAUCUCGGAGCUUAACUCCGAAACUGCAUUCGAUACUGGCGUGCUUGAGGACUGGAGAGGAGACUGGAAUUCAUGGUGUAGCAGUGAAAUGCGUAGAGAUCAUGAGGAAGACCAGUGGCGAAGGCGGGUCUCUGGACAGUUCCUGACACUGAGACACGAAGGCCAGGGGAGCAAACGGG
rnacentral:rRNA from 1 species